AACGAACGCUGGCGGCAUGCCUAACACAUGCAAGUCGAACGAGACCUUCGGGUCUAGUGGCGCACGGGUGCGUAACGCGUGGGAACCUGCCCUUAGGUUCGGAAUAACUCCCCGAAAGGGGUGCUAAUACCGGAUAAUGUCUUCGGACCAAAGAUUUAUCGCCUUUGGAUGGGCCCGCGUUGGAUUAGCUAGUUGGUAGGGUAAAAGCCUACCAAGGCGACGAUCCAUAGCUGGUCUGAGAGGAUGAUCAGCCACACUGGGACUGAGACACGGCCCAGACUCCUACGGGAGGCAGCAGUGGGGAAUAUUGGACAAUGGGCGAAAGCCUGAUCCAGCAAGGCCGCGUGAGUGAUGAAGGCCUGAGGGUUGUAAAGCUCUUUUACCCGGGAUGAUAAUGACAGUACCGGGAGAAUAAGCUCCGGCUAACUCCGUG
rnacentral:rRNA from 1 species